rnacentral:rRNA from 1 species
CCUACGGGUGGCAGCAGUGGGGAAUAUUGCACAAUGGGGGAAACCCUGAUGCAGCAACGCCGCGUGAGUGAAGAAGGUUUUCGGAUCGUAAAGCUCUAUCAGCAGUGACGAAAAUGACGGUAGCAUCUGAAGAAGCCCCGGCUAACUACGUGCCAGCAGCCGCGGUGAUACGAAGGGGGCAAGCGUUGUUCGGAAUUACUGGGUGUAAAGGGAGCGUAGGCGGCUGCGUAAGACAGUGGUGAAAGCCCAGGGCUUAACCUUGGAAUUGCCAUUAUAACUAUGAAGCUAGAAUGCAAGAGAGGAAAGUGGAAUACCCAGUGUAGCGGUGAAAUUCGUAGAUAUUAGGUAGAACACCAGUGGCGAAGGCGACUAUCUGGACUGAAACUGACGCUGAGGCUCGAAAGCGUGGGGAGCAAACAGGAUUAGAUACCCCAGUAGUC